UCUAACGUGGCAGAUAAGUGCGGUGGAUUUAAGCUCCACCAAUAAAGUAUUGAUACUUUCAUUAGAA
rnacentral:tRNA from 1 species